rnacentral:lncRNA from 1 species
GUCCCGGUGCCGCCCCGCGGGGCCGGGAGGUGGCAGCAGCGGCCGCGGGCUGGAGCCGGGUGCCGGCGGCUGCCGGGGCCUCAUCCUGCCCGGGACCCCGCUGCGGGGAGCACCCCGCUGUGCGGCGGGGAUUUGGGGGUCCCGCAGCCUCCCCCCCGCGUCGCUGCAAAGCGCCCGGGGGGCUCCGUGAGCGACCCCGUCCCCAAAAUGCUUGCCUGAGCUGGGGUGUAAAGGUGCCGUGGGACAGCUUCGCCCUCCCGGCCGCGUUUCGGAGGUGCCAGGAGCCGAGCGGGACGGAGGCGCAGGGAGCGGACGCCCGGCGGGGCUGCGGGGUGGGCCUGCAGGUUUGGCAACGCGCCCCCGGCCCCCUCCCGGCACAGGGGGCACUGGGAGCACUGGGGGCACCGUGCCGAGGGGUGCCCAGCACCGCUGGGGUGGCUGCUUUCCCCCCGGGGCACGGCCUCCCCCCGGCCGCGCUCGCUGCGGGUACCGGGCGGUGUUUAUGGGGCCGGAGGUUGGUUAUAGGGAAUUUUUGGCCAAACGUCCCAAAGUCCAGCAGCUCGGACACGUUGCAAAGGCCCCAGGGCGAGGCCUGGGGGGGCUCGGUGGGACCAAACACCCCGGCCACGCAUGGGCAAGGGGUGGCCGAGCCCCACUAGCCACUAGCCACGGACCCCCUGCGGCCACCAGCCCCUCGCCCCCUGCCCACUGCAGCGGGACCCG